rnacentral:rRNA from 1 species
UACGUAGGGUGCGAGCGUUGUCCGGAAUUAUUGGGCGUAAAGAGCUCGUAGGCGGUGUGUCGCGUCGGCCGUGAAAACCUGGGGCUCAACUCUGGGCGUGCGGUCGAUACGGGCAUCACUUGGGUUCGGCAGGGGAGACUGGAAUUCCUGGUGUAGCGGUGAAAUGCGCAGAUAUCAGGAGGAACACCGGUGGCGAAGGCGGGUCUCUGGGCAGUAACUGACGCUGAGGAGCGAAAGCGUGGGGAGCGAACAGG